ACCUGGCUGGCUCAGUCAUUAGAGUAUGUGACUCUUGAUCUUGGGAUCGUGAGUUUGAGCCCCACGUUGGGUG
rnacentral:tRNA from 1 species